rnacentral:rRNA from 1 species
AUGAUGAGGCCCAGACCCUUCGGUUCCGGUGUGGCAUCGGCCGCCGCGGCCGAGGUUUCGGUGGGCGCGGGAUGCCGCGGCGGCUGGGCGUGGAGGCCCAGGCCGAGGGCGCGGCCGGGGCAGCGCUUGAGGGUCAGAGGGGCGCCUAGCCCCCACGCGGCCGCGCCGGCGAGCGCCGUGCACGCGGAGCCCCACCACGGCGAGCGGUUCCGCCCGUUCGGGCUGCCCCGCGCUGGAUUCGGCUCGGACCUGGAGGCGGGCAUCGAGAAGGUCAUCUACGCCUGCCGCUUCAUGGCCUUCCUCGCCAUCGCCGGAUCUCUCGCCGGAUCCGUCCUCUGCUUCCUCAAGGGCUGCACUUUUGUGAUGGAUGCCUUCGUGGAGUACUACUUGCGCGGCGAUGGGAAGGUCGUGCUCAUGCUGAUUGAAGCCAUUGAUAUGUAUCUCAUCGGCACGGUCAUGUUUGUCUUCGGGACGGGCCUGUACGAGCUGUUCAUCAGUAACAUGGACAUCGCAAAACAGUCCCAUGACCGCUCCAGCCUCUUUGGCUUGUUCAAGCUUCCGGAACGGCCCAAGUGGCUGGAAAUCCGCUCGGUGAGUGACCUCAAGACAAAGCUGGGUCAUGUAAUCGUCCUGGUUCUGCUGGUUGGCAUCUCCGAGAAGAGCAAGAGGGUGACCAUCACGUCAUGUACUGACCUCUUCUGCUUCGCUGGAUCUAUCUUCCUCUCUUCAGGUUGCCUCUACCUACUAUCCAAGCUCGGUAGCACAAAAGGAGGGAGUCAUGCCUGA